GGGGAAUAUUGGACAAUGGGGGGAACCCUGAUCCAGCCAUGCCGCGUGUGCGAAGAAGGCCUUAUGGUUGUAAAGCACUUUAAGCGAGGAGGAGGCUCCCGUAGCUAAUAUCUACGGAGAGUGGACGUUACUCGCAGAAUAAGCACCGGCUAACUCUGUGCCAGCAGCCGCGGUAAUACAGAGGGUGCGAGCGUUAAUCGGGUUUACUGGGCGUAAAGCGUUCGUAGGCGGCUUUUUAAGUCGGAUGUGAAAUCCCUGAGCCUAACUUAGGAAUUGCAUUCGAUACUGGGAAGCUAGAGUAUGGGAGAGGAUGGUAGAAUUCCAGGUGUAGCGGUGAAAUGCGUAGAGAUCUGGAGGAAUACCGAUGGCGAAGGCAGCCAUCUGGCCUAAUACUGACGCUGAGGUACGAAAGCAUGGGGAGCAAAC
rnacentral:rRNA from 1 species